GCUGGGCGCAGUGGCGCAUGCCUGUAAUCCAGCGCCGGAGGCUGAGGCAGGAUAAUCUCGAGUUCAAAGCCAGCCUCAGCAAAAGUGAGGCAACACGCAACUCAGUGAGACCCUGUCUCUA
rnacentral:sRNA from 1 species